CCUGCUGAGGAGUAUUUAAGGAGGAGGCUGCCAGCAACUCACUGCCAGAGUGUUGCCCUUAUGGUUUACCUGAACCUGACUUUUCCUUCUGCAUUGAACCCUGUCUGGAUUACCGUCUUCUGGAAAGAAGCUAUCCAGCUCCAUGAACAAAGACUCAAGCCUCUUAUUACUUCGUUGGAUCAUACCGGCUGUCAGCCUCCUAAUUCCUUCGUUCUUUGGAUCUCCUUCUACGAACCCUGUCCACCUCCUCCAUCCACUGCACCAACUUCAGAAACUCUUGGACCUACUAAACAUCCUGGCACACCAGUAUUCACCAUCCUCAGUCUCAUGGGUAAACAACCCCUUGGUCCCUCCACCCCCCUCUGGUGGAUCUCUCCAUCAAUCCAUUGGUAUCCCGGUUCCAGUUCCCUGCACAUUUCAUUACCGUUAAACUCAGUCUCCUGAAUUGCUUUCUGCAUGUGGGUCAAAUCUGUUUGAAACAAUAUGACAAAAACAGGCAACCUCUCAGUCCAUGUUGGUGUAAAGCUGUCCUCGCUGUGGACAGUGUUGUUGCUGUCCCUGCAGUUUCCAGUUGACGUCAGGAUUGAACCUUACUGGUUACGGUCCUUCACAAUUUCUAUGUGUCAGAAAGUUUCAGUAAAGGGGGUCCCGGAUGGGUGAAACUUUGACUGCAAGAACUCCAUACAAUGGAUAACUACAAGAUCAGUCGAGUGACUUUCAAAAAAUGUUCUGAAUUAAAAAUCAAAAGAAACAGACAGGUGUGUUUGUAGCUGCCUUCCUCUCUAAUAAUCUCACCUAAUUAAAUUUCUCGCCCAACUGAAGUCGCUCUGCUUUUCUUUGGGGAAUCUAAUUUGAUCCUUCCUCUAACCAGCCCCUUUGUGUUAAGUCCCCCUUUGUAUUCCCUUCUUUUUGAAUCUUCAGUGCACUUUUAAAGAACAGGUGCGAUGACAGAUGCCGUUGCUCCAUUUUAUUCAUUCCGAUUCAACUCGUCUCUUCUCCACCUCCUCCCGUCACCCCAUCUCUUUGCAUCUUAAUUCCUUUUGCACCUUCUGUCCUUUCAUUAUUCAUCAUGCCACUCAAGGCUGUUCCCUGUCUUUCUUAUGUCCUCCCUCCCUCACUUGUUACUUUUCAAUUCAGAUGAAUUAACCACAGCCACUCUUGUCUCUCAUAUCCCAUCUUCCUCUCCAUUAUGCUGCUUUCCUGCCCUCCCACUUUAACGCUCUCCCUCCUUUCAUCUCUUCCUCAACACACCGCACUCCUACCCCCACCCUCAGGUUUUCUUCCACUGUUUUCCUUCAUACUUCAUCUUCCCUCA